rnacentral:rRNA from 2 species
GGGGAAUAUUGGGCAAUGGACGCAAGUCUGACCCAGCAACGCCGCGUGAAGGAAGAAGGCUUUCGGAUUGUAAACCUCUGUCGCAGGGGACGAAGAAAGUGACGGUACCCUGUGAGGAAGCCCCGGCUAACUACGUGCCAGCAGCCGCGGUAAGACGUAGGGGGCAAGCGUUGUCCGGAAUUACUGGGCGUAAAGGGUGCGUAGGCGGCAAUUCAAGUCUGAUGUGAAAUUCCCGUGCUUAACAUGGGGCUUGCAUCGGAAACUGAAUAGCUAGAGUGCAGGAGAGGUAAGCGGAAUUCCUAGUGUAGCGGUGAAAUGCAUAGAUAUUAGGAGGAACACCAGUGGCGAAGGCGGCUUACUGGACUGUAACUGACGCUGAAGCACGAAAGCGUGGGGAGCAAACA